GAUGAACGCUAGCGGCAGGCUUAACACAUGCAAGUCGAGGGGUAUAGUUCUUCGGAACUAGAGACCGGCGCACGGGUGCGUAACGCGUAUGCAAUCUACCUUUUGCAGAGGGAUAGCCCAGAGAAAUUUGGAUUAAUACCUCAUAGUAUGUGAGAAUGGCAUCAUUUUCACAUUAAAGUCACAACGGCAAAAGAUGAGCAUGCGUCCCAUUAGCUUGUCGGUAAGGUAACGGCUUACCAAGGCAACGAUGGGUAGGGGUCCUGAGAGGGAGAUCCCCCACACUGGUACUGAGACACGGACCAGACUCCUACGGGAGGCAGCAGUGAGGAAUAUUGGACAAUGGGCGCAAGCCUGAUCCAGCCAUGCCGCGUGCAGGAUGACGGUCCUAUGGAUUGUAAACUGCUUUUGUACAGGAAGAAACACUGGUUCGUGAACCAGCUUGACGGUACUGUAAGAAUAAGGAUCGGCCAACUCCGUGCCAGCCGCCGCAGUAACAC
rnacentral:rRNA from 1 species